rnacentral:rRNA from 1 species
GAGAUCGGGAGGAAUACCAGUGGCGAAGGCGGCCUUCUGGACUGACACUGACACUGAGGUGCGAAAGCGUGGGUAGCAAACAGGAUUAGAUACCCUGGUAGUCCACGCCGUAAACGAUGUCGACCAGCCGUUGGGUGCCUAGCGCACUUUGUGGCGAAGUUAACGCGAUAAGUCGACCGCCUGGGGAGUACGGCCGCAAGGUUAAAACUCAAAUGAAUUGACGGGGGCCCGCACAAGCGGUGGAGCAUGUGGUUUAAUUCGAUGCAACGCGAAGAACCUUACCUACUCUUGACAUCCUGCGAAUUUGGUAGAGAUACCUUAGUGCCUUCGGGAACGCAGAGACAGGUGCUGCAUGGCUGUCGUCAGCUCGUGUUGUGAAAUGUUGGGUUAAGUCCCGUAACGAGCGCAACCCUUGUCCUUAUUUGCCAGCGCGUAAUGGCGGGAACUCUAAGGAGACUGCCGGUGACAAACCGGAGGAAGGUAGGGACGACGUCAAGUCAUCAUGGCCCUUACGAGUAGGGCUACACACGUGCUACAAUGGUCGGUACAAAGGGUUGCCAACUCACGAGAGUGAGCCAAUCCCGAAAAGCCGAUCUCAGUCCGGAUCGGAGUCUGCAACUCGACUCCGUGAAGUCGGA